AAAUUAUUCCAACAGUCACCAUCACGUCAUUUUUUUUUCCUGUCGAGCAAGUCAUGGUAAUUAGUUGCUUAACAUGCUAGAGAUAACAGCCAAUACACAUUUUAAGUCAUAAUCCAUUGUGUUAAAUAGUACGGAUACAUUGGAUGAUGCAAUUCUAGUUACAUAUUGUCAUCCUUCGGUCUGCUCACUCGGAGCUGGCCUGGAGGUUAAACACCAACCUAUACCACAUCGGGUACCUCUGACAAGAUCGUUAAACGUAGUUACCCAGCAGCUGACUGUGAGCUGGUACCACAUCAGUAAGUGGGCAGCCACUGUAUCUGACAAUGGGUACCUGCAUCGUCAUCUUUAUCACCGUCAGAGGGAAGCUGCUUUCAUACACUUGUGUUAAUACUACAGUAGCAGCAUCACAGCUUCAUUUUCUUCAUUCGAUUUGUUGAAGAAGACGGAGGAGGAAAUAUUUCGACUCUGAUGACCGGCUUUCAAUGCCGUCUUGAAAUGGCGAACGUUUUACCAGUUUUUGGAUUGAUUUCACAAUAUAUAUUCAUCGCCGUUGAUGUUAGAAAUAUCUGUCAGUAGAUAAAUAUUUACACACAUAUACGGAGAAAUAGUGAACUGGUACCACAGUGUCCUGGGAGGACAUUUAGGAGAUUGAUAUGAACUACAAUGCAAUGAGCAGG
rnacentral:misc_RNA from 1 species